CUACGUGCCAGCAGCCGCGGUAAUACGUAGGGCGCGAGCGUUGUCCGGAAUUAUUGGGCGUAAAGAGCUUGUAGGCGGUUUGUCGCGUCUGCUGUGAAAGGCCGGGGCUUAACUCCGUGUAUUGCAGUGGGUACGGGCAGACUAGAGUGCAGUAGGGGAGACUGGAAUUCCUGGUGUAGCGGUGGAAUGCGCAGAUAUCAGGAAGAACACCGGUGGCGAAGGCGGGUCUCUGGGCCGUUACUGACGCUGAGGAGCGAAAGCGUGGGGAGCGAACAGGAUUAGAUACCCUGGUAGUCCACGCUGUAAACGUUGGGCACUAGGUGUGGGGGCCACCCGUGGUUUCUGCGCCGUAGCUAACGCUUUAAGUGCCCCGCCUGGGGAGUACGGCCGCAAGGCUAAAACUCAAAGGAAUUGACGGGGGCCCGCACAAGCGGCGGAGCAUGCGGAUUAAUUCGAUGCAACGCGAAGAACCUUACCAAGGCUUGACAUGC
rnacentral:rRNA from 1 species